GACUCCCAACUACAAGGGCCUGCCUGGACUCCAUAACGUCCACUCCGGGACCACAUUUGACUGUCUUCAUCUUGUGUGGAGAGCACCCAUCGUCCGCCUUCUGCACGCAGCUGUAGCACUCCAGGGCUUGUGCUCCUGCGGGGGCCCUCCGACUCUACCUUCGUGGCAACACACCCACCUUCACACAGCAGGAGCGGCAGCAGCAGCAGCCAUCUGGUGGUCCACAUCCCUGGCUGUGCACCUCCUCUCCCGGCAGCAUCCAUUGCUCUGUCCUGCUCUCUCCGCGUCCCCCCUGGGUGUGCCACCUUCCAACCCAGGCCCUCUUACCUGAGCCUCAGAUGAGUAACCUACCCCGGGGCAACCCUGGCCUUGCCCAACCAGGCUAACUCAGCGUCCGCUGUGGGGCGGGCCUGCCUCUAGGAACAAACAAGACCAUUACACCAAUCACGCUGCGCCUCCACAAGCCCAUAUUCUGUUACUAUGUCUUUGGCUCUGGCUGUCUCCUAGGCAGGAUGUUGUGGCAUGCUACAGACCUGUAAUCCCUGCGCUCAGAAGGCUGAAGCAAGCGGAUUGCACGUUCAAGGCCAGUCUUGGCUACAAAAUGGUGGACCUUCGAGAUAGAGGGUAAAAGCCUGAGUUUGGCCCCCAGACCCACAUUGUGGGAGAGAACACAUUGUCCUCUGACCUCCACACGUGUCCAAAUGUACACACAAUAAUAAACAGAAUACACUUUGUGAAAAAGAGGGCGAAUAUACCAGUUUUUUUAAUAAGCAGCCUGUUCAGAGGGGCAGAGCACAGUAGACAUUCCUCAGAGGGGGAAACUGAGUCCUAGAGAGGAAGCUACCAUCCUCCACAGGCCAGCGGAGAGGCGGCCAGAUUGGUGACUGUGGCAAGAAAGAGCAGCUGUGCUCAGAGAGAUCUCUACUGCCCAGCCCCUGCCCAGCACCCCUGUUCCCAACAAUGACAAGCACCUCAGUCACCUAGGUGGGGUCACCUGUCAUCCAGGGAAGACUCAGAGAGAGAAAGUGAGCGAUUCUCCUUAUGUCAUUCAAAACUGGCACCAGCUGUGCUGCCUCCACCUCAGGAUCCCAGCCCUACAUCUUUGCUGUGUGACCCUCAAUUAAUGUUCUUCCCUCUCUGAGACU